rnacentral:rRNA from 1 species
GUACACUCCUACGGGAGGCAGCAGUGGGGAAUUUUGGACAAUGGGCGAAAGCCUGAUCCAGCAAUGCCGCGUGUGUGAAGAAGGCCUUCGGGUUGUAAAGCACUUUUGUCCGGAAAGAAAUCCUUGGCUCUAAUACAGUCGGGGGAUGACGGUACCGGAAGAAUAAGCACCGGCUAACUACGUGCCAGCAGCCGCGGUAAUACGUAGGGUGCGAGCGUUAAUCGGAAUUACUGGGCGUAAAGCGUGCGCAGGCGGUUUGCUAAGACCGAUGUGAAAUCCCCGGGCUCAACCUGGGAACUGCAUUGGUGACUGGCAGGCUAGAGUAUGGCAGAGGGGGGUAGAAUUCCACGUGUAGCAGUGAAAUGCGUAGAGAUGUGGAGGAAUACCGAUGGCGAAGGCAGCCCCCUGGGCCAAUACUGACGCUCAUGCACGAAAGCGUGGGGAGCAAACAGGAUUAGAAACCCCAGUAGUCCCAUG